AGAGGGUUACUCAAGCGGUUAAGAGACUAGUCUUGAAAACUAGCAGGGGUGUAAAAGCCUGCGUGGGUUCGAAUCCCACACCCUCUGCCA
rnacentral:tRNA from 1 species